GAUCCUGACUCAGGAUGAACGCUGGCGGCGUGCUUAACACAUGCAAGUCGAGCGAAGCAAUUUAAGUGAAGUUUUCGGAUGGAUCUUAAAUUGACUGAGCGGCGGACGGGUGAGUAACGCGUGGAUAACAUGCCUCACACAGGGGGAUAACAGUUAGAAAUGACUGCUAAUACCGCAUAAGCGCACGGUACCGCAUGGUACAGUGUGAAAAACUCCGGUGGUGUGAGAUGG
rnacentral:rRNA from 1 species